UCCCUGGUGUUCCAUGGGUUAGAACUUAGCACUUUCACUGCUGGGGCCCAGGUUCAAUUCCUGGUUGGGGAA
rfam:TPA: Bos taurus chromosome 11, whole genome shotgun sequence.